UCUUAAUCGCUUAAAUACAGGCCGUUGAAAAGAGCGGUUGGAUGCUUAAACAACUUAUAGUACUGAUCGAGAGGAAUAAAAAAUGUCUAAGAACAGCCCUUUCGAUGUAAAAUCACCUUUUAUUAUUCGUUAGACUACCUAAUUUUAUCCAUUCUAGGCUCCUAAAAAAAAUCUCAAAAAAUUCACAUUAGACGAUUGGUUCUUGAGUGAAACGUUUGGAAAAUUUUUCGGGAAAAAUAAAAAUACAUCUGGAAGAAAUUUACGAGUGAAAUUUCGGGCGUAAUUUCGGGAUUCAGCUCGUCUACAGAGAGGUCUGUGGAGCUACACGGUCUGUUUUUCCAACCAGCUUUCCACGACUCGAACAAACGAAUCUCUUUAAAAGAUGAAAAUCUGCGACCAACGUCGUUCAUCCCCGGGGCGACUUUCUCACGCUAGCUCGGUUACUAAGUGAGGAUGUGAAAGACCACGGCGUUCGAAGGUCGUUCGUUCAAAUUGCUCGUUUUGCGCAUCGCACAAAGCCACCUCUACCACGACGUUAAGAUCUCGGUACACGAAUACACUUUAUAACCGAUUACAUACAGCGAGGCUCCAACGUUCGACGUUACGGACCGUUCGAAAUAUUGCGCGAAGCUAGUUUUUUAAAUGCUCGUGCUUAUGUAAGCACGCGAUCGAUUGGCGCGUGAACGAACGACAGAGCGCGAUAGAAAGCACGGGAGUGGGGGGAGACAGAGAGAAAUGGAGUGGGUGGUAGGAGGCUUAAUGUAGGAAAUGGAAGGGAGAGAAAAAAUUGGUUGGAAGGGCGCUGUUGCUGGGGGCGAACUCCACCGUUACGAGUGGAGUAAAAACGGUUCGAAAAAGUAACGGAUAAACGGAGAACCGAGAUGGCAGAAGAAUAGUAAGAGAACAAACGAAAAAGGAGUGGGAGAAAAAAGGCGCGCGAGAAAAGAAGAAAGAGAAGAGGAGAAAGGGUGGGAGGGAGAAGAAAGACGAAAGAACGAAGUGAAGAUUGGUGGGUGGGGAAGAUAUGAUAGAAGGAAGAAAAGGAGGAAAGAAAGCAAAGAGAUACGGAAAGAGAGAGGCGAAAGGAGUGUUUGAGAGAGGGGCGCGAGAAGCGUAGAAGAUGAGGCGGAUGAGGUGACGGGAUGAUGGGGAAACGAGUAUGGGUAGACAUGCAGGCAUGCAGACAAACAGGCACCGAGUGGAUACUGGAGAAAGAAGUUGAGAGGAAGGAGGAAGUUGCGCAACGGUCAACCGACGCGGCAUUAGAGAAGCGCAUCGAACCAACCCACGUAAAUACUUGUUCCGUUUAUUUAAAAAUAUAAGACGAUCCAAAAAGACGAAGCCAGAAUAAAGAUGAAACGCGUGAAAGGUUGAUAACACGCGCCCAAGAAGAAGAAAGAUGAAGGCACUUAUCGAUCGAUACGAUCUGAACAUAACGAUCUCUGAAUCUUGGAACGAGUACAAAAGGAACGAGCUAUAAGAAGGCCGUAAUAAAAUUCAUCCCCCGGAACGAGCCGCCGAGGCAUGCAUCCGAUUUCUUUCUUUCUCGACCAGCUCUCGGGUUUGGUCCAGCUCGUUGGUUACCGCCGCUAUGCAGCUACCUGUGAGGGAGUGAAUCGUAUAAGUACGAAUAACAACCUGUUCCCCUCUACCUGCUCGGAGAGUAGCUACGUGUAUGUGCGCGGAUAACAGCUCCUUUCCUUUGAUCUCGAAUGACGAAAGACGUCCUAUGACCGCACGUAUACUCGUUAAUUCGCGCGUUUACUUCCUCGCUUCCGUGAAAUACGCGUAUACCCUUGUUUUAAAUAUUUAUAAAUACACGAUCUUAUUUUAGCGUGCUAUUUGAAUAUCACACGCUUCCAAUCCAAUCUUGCAUUUGUUCCACGUGUGCACUGGUAAUAUGAGAAGAAAGAGCGGAGUCUCCGAUAACUCUCAGUAGGUAGUACGUUGGAAAGUUGCGAGCGGAAACAUUCGUAUUAUAGACCGUUGGAAACAUUAAGAUAGUAUUCUUGGUCAAUGUCCGAACUUCUUCUACACAAGUCACGGACGGGAUAAGGACACACGAUAAAUGGUCUGUAUACAAAGAAAAUAACAAUUAGCGGCACAUGGUAUUGGGUCGUUUCGCGGAAAUGGUCGAAACCAUCGAGAAUCUCAGUCAGUUUCCCUCCAAAACCGGUCAGCUGAUGGUAUUUGCCCGACCAGCUGAAGGGACGGCUGUCAAGGGUAGGCAGACUCGGCCAUUUUUAAAUCCCUCGUAGCCGCCGAUUUAAAAGACCACGCUUGUUUUCUGCUGCGCGUCGGCCUACUCGCCUCAGCCCCAGUCCCGGCCCCGGCCCUGGCCCCAUCCCCCACCAGGUUUGCCUUUCUGACGACGCGACGCGACGUACAGUGGCUCACGAAAGUAUUUGAACAUUUACAAUAGAAUUUUUUUAUGAAUACACUAUGUAUACUGUAGGAGAUUUUCGGAAAUAUCGCUAACAUUGUAACGAGACGCGAUUAUCAUAAUCGUAAUACUAAAAUUCGAAACUAAUCCGAACAUGUAUAUACAAGUUGCGAGACAUUUAUUGCAAACAUUAGAAAAAUUAGUAUACCUCAUAAAUAACAGUCUUAAAUACACAAUUGACGCUAAACAUGGUUUCGCUAUAUACUGUGGCUUGCUGAUACAGCGAAUAGCUGACUGUUCGUAUAAUUUGGUGAUCUUUAGGAAUCGCAUGCUUUCCAUUUACCGGAAAGUAAAUAUCUUGUAGCUUCUACGUACAUUUUCAGAUUCCGUUCAAAUUUUGUCAAUGUAAUCGCGACAGCCGUGCCUCGUUACAGUGCUAAUGAAAUAAGACAUUUUUCCUGCAAUAUAUACAGAAAAAGUUUCUUCGAAUACUUUCGUGAGCCACUGCAACUUCGUCUUGGCCUGUCCCGACCCAUCGGCUCUCGCUUCCUCUCGUGUUGUCUUCUUGUCGUCUCGUUUCAUCUCAUCUCGCCCCCUACCUUGUCAAGGCGUAAACACCAUUCCGUUCCCUUUACAUUCGUACCCUUAGACCGACGUUGGUAUCGCGGCUACCUUUUCCCGCGCUCAUUCCUACUUUCCUCGUUGUCUCGUUUCUUCACGCUAACCGGUCGAGUUGCAACGAACGUCCACGCACGUUGUCCGCGCAUCCAACGAAUCGCGCUUGUUUUUCAUUAUCUCCGCUUCACCGUUUUAGCCUCCAACCGUUACGACGAUCACGGUUCAAAUAAUCAAACGCGAGUCGGUUGAUCGCCGCACACUUUCGACGUCGAACGACUAUCUUCGAUCUUUUCUUUUCGCUAUAAUGUUACACGUUCGCUGGUUGAAUCUCGUUCUCAAGUACUCGCAAUUUGUGACUUCCGUUUGUAACAUACGAUUUUUGUUUAUAGGUUAAUGAUCUUCCUAUCUCCCUCUUUCUCUCUGUGGUUUAAAGCUGACAUCUUUUUCAUUUCAUCCGCCAGAAAGUACCCAUUUAUUUGUAAAAAUACGUUUUACACCAGUACUGUACAAUAUACUAAUUUUUUGCUUUAUUUACUGUAUAUUAAUCUUAUCACGCUAAAUAUUCCUGUACAUACAAAUAGCAGCUCACGGAAGCAUUCGUGGACUUGUAAAAACCUUUCCUUUUCUACGAAACAUUUCGAAAUUUCAUUAGCACCGUAACGAGACUCGAUUAUCACGAUUCUAUUGGUAAAGUUCGAAACGAAUUUGAGAAUGAAUAUAAAAGGUACGAGAUAUUUCGUGCAUGUAUAUAUAUAUGUGUGUAGUCUUCACUGGAAUUUUGAUUCAAAUGGUUCACGAUAAGAGCAAAUGUCCCAAAUUUGCUGCAUUUGCAUAAUUUGCAAAUUAUGAUUUCGCUGUUUUGUAAAGUGGGAAAAUUUAAGAAGAAUGACAAUUAACAAAACGCUUAAAUUAGUAAGAAGCUAAUAGAAAUCUUUGAAACUGCUUGGCAGUCUGUGCACGCCAAUAGUUCAAUUAUUUCUUGUAACGUGGUAUGAGAGAAAAAUGCGAGACAACCGCACAAAAUGAUCUGUAGUUCGAUAAAUGGAAUUCUACGGUGGAUUUAUUCGAAGGAAACUGUAUAAAUAAAAGGCUCGUGGCAUCAAUAGCUACGUUCUAACAGCAGGUCCCUCACGGCAACAAAGCAAAAUAGACCAAAAGAACGAAACUCGCCGUUUUUCCUUUCGUGGGCUCUUUUCUUCAAGAUUUCAGGUAAGUAUUAUCGAUCCCUGUGACCGCGAGACACAGGUACUACACAAGAUGUUCGACAUCUUCUCACACCUACCUGAAGAAUCGAUUCAAAAAAUACUCCAAUUGUAAUACUCAUCACCAAUGACAAUUUAGUUUUUCAUAUAUUUUUCAAUAUAUUUAUCACGAGUCUUUCAAAUUUGUUUCCUUCGUUCUUCGACUACUUCGUCGAUUCUCUUUUUUUUUUUUUUUUUUCUUCCUUUGGUUUAUUGCACAGUUAAUUCGUAAAAUCGAAGAUAAAGGUUAAGAACGAAGGAGAAGAAAAGAGAGGAAGAGAGAAAUUUGGAGGGAAGACUAGGAUGGUGGUGGAAAAAAAGCGGGAAUGUUGCGGCGAUCAGCUGAGAAAUAUUCCAAAAGAGGCUGGUCGGUCGGCCCUUUCGAUAAACCGGUUAGCCUGGCGUGGGGCAUCUUGGCGGGAAACCUCCGCCAAUGACAGUCCGCUGCUUUAUCUCUUUCUCGCUUCUUCCCUUCCUCCUUCCUUCUCUUUUGCUCGUCUGUCUUUCCCCCACCUUCCAGUCGGCUUUCUUAGAAGGAACGCAAAGCAUUUGCAUUCACGAGGGAGACCACCGCAUAGAUGCCUGGCCUGUAUCGCGCACACGUUUUGUGUCGUUGACGCGUAUCUAUGAAAAAUUCCUCUUCUAACAAUUUUGAACAGUUGUUCGUCGAAAGGAAAUAAUAGCGAUAAAGCGAGCGAAAACGUGCUUCAUGGUAAUCUCGAUUGGUAAAAGCAAAUAACGAAUUGUAAAUAGAUCUCGUUUCGUUGGCAACGUUACUCCUCUUCCCUUUAACAAACUUUUCGGUCGUAGAAUAUCAUAUGAGAGUUGGCAAUCUACCGUAUAUUACAUUGAAUGGUAGAUGCCUGUGAAUACGUCGAAAUACGAUAUUUCUUUUAAAUUUCUGUUACGUACGAUAGCUAGUGCUGUCUAUGUGUAUGUACAGCAACGUGAAGAAUUAUUCAGAUCAAUUCAAUUGAGAUUUAAUUAAUUAAUUUAAUUGAGAAAUCAUUAUCAUUUACUUAGGUUGGAGUAUUUUUUCAAAUUUCUACUCUCGUCCUUGUCAAUCGAUCUACGUGACUUCAAGCGAUUCGAGUCUGUUGAGCGAGAUUGUCAUCUUAUCUGAUUAUUAAUGUCGUAUUAGAAAUGAUUAAUGUAAGCUUGUUAUACCUAAUUAGAAAUUUGUGUUCUCAAGUUUCUAAAUAAAAUCUAACUGUUAUUGCUUUCAGCUAUAUCUUGACUAAAAAGAAAGAACUGUUGCUAGGUUAUGUAAUACCAUCCCAGUUUCGUACUUGCCAAUGUCGGUUCCCUAGAUCGAGUCAAUUUUUUCUGAACUUUGCGCUCGCAGCCAUACUUCGUAUACGUGAUAUUUUUAUUAGACGUUACUAAGUCACCGCUACAAUUUUAUUUCAUUGUAUGCCGAGUUCAAUUUGUAUGUAAUAAAACGCACUGUUACGCUGGCUCUGUGCUUAUGACAUCAACGCAAACUAGUUCCUUACCAUCCUUCCGAUGAACAUAACCUAUCCUUUCCGAAGGAAAAGAAAUGGUAUACUAUUUCAUAUUUUAUGAUCUCAGACACGAUGUAUCUCGUUUCUUAUCAUACUAAUCGCAACAUGUAAAAAUCAAACAUUUUUGAAUAGUUUUAUAGUUACGAGAUACGGUGAACGAUUAACUGCUAUUACAAAAUCGCCCAAGACUUCUACAGGGUACUGUACGGAAACGUGAUCGGCGGGAGUAAAAUUGCUAGAGACUUAGUUCACGUGUGGUCUCUCGUGUAGCAAAGUUGAAACAUAUACACGACCCAAACGCACCCGAACCGUCUACGAGCUAAAGUGGGCGGCGUUAUUCUUAGCGAGUAGGGAUACGAUGAACUUGCUUGCCCGAACCGUUUUGCUUGAUUUUUUAACGGUCGCGUCACGAGAGCAACGAAGAGAAAUAUAAAGAUAAAAUAUCGACUACUGCAGCAGAAACUUGCUGGAAUGCGAACAAAUUUGUUGUAAAAGGAAUAGAAGGAGUGCAAAGGGAAGAAGAAGGAAAAGGAGGGGUGGAUGAUAUCGAAUAAAGCGUAGGAGCUAGUUGAAGCGUGAAACGGGAAAGAAAACCGACGAGUACGGCGCCGAACGAGAUGGAUAAGCUUACCAGAAACGGUGGGAACCGGCGAGUGAGGUAGAAAGAGAAAGAAAAGACAAGUGAAUCUUCCUGGCGAUGAAUGGAACUAGAAAAUAUGAAUGGUCUUGGUCAGCGUUUUCGAGCUACAGCGUCAACGCGAUAUCCAGUAUAUGAAUGUGUACAUAUUGUCCAUUUCAAAAUGUUUCAAAUGUCGAAUAAUUUGUAAAUGAUGCGUUAACACGAAAUGUUAAUUUUGUUUAUA